AUUGAACGCUGGCGGCAUGCCUUACACAUGCAAGUCGAACGGCAGCACGGGAGCAAUCCUGGUGGCGAGUGGCGAACGGGUGAGUAAUACAUCGGGAACGUGCCCAGUAGUGGGGGAUAACCCGGCGAAAGCCGGACUAAUACCGCAUACGACCUAUGGGUGAAAGCAGGGGAUUUCAUGGCAACAUGCGACCUUGCGCUAUCGGAGCGGCCGAUGCAGAUUAGCUUGUUGGCGGGUAAAAGCCCACCAAGGCGACGAUCUGUAGCUGGUCUGAGAGGACGACCAGCCACACU
rnacentral:rRNA from 1 species